rnacentral:lncRNA from 1 species
UUUUUUUUUUUAUAGCUCGAACUUGUACGGUAGCAACCAGUUUGACUAUAGUUUUGGGGUCUAAUACUGUAACUUUUGGAUCCAGUUACUCUCGAAUUCAGUCUACCAUAGAAUAUGUUUUUUUAAUGAGUUAAUUGAAUGGUUUAGUUAGGUUCAGUGCAUGUGUUCAAGGUAUCUUGGAAAUGGCACGAUUUGGGCUUUGAGGUCCAUAAGUGCAGUUAUUUUUGCUCUAAUAUCGGUUUAGAUUGUAGAGGUUACACCAGCUUUUCAGAAUCAAGUAUGUGAAUCUUUGUUCAUUUAUAGGUUUAAUCUUUAGUUAAAUCUCAAUUAUGUUGCUUGGAUGCCUAUACAUGCUGCUUUGUUGGUAGUGGUACUUCCUGGACCUCUGUGUUGAUGAAAGUUAUCAAUUUCAUUUUUCUUUCAACGGUGCCUGCAUGUUUUCGUCUGUGCACAAAUGUAUUUGACUAUCACUAAGUAUUAUUUUUUGGUUGGCCUAAUAUAUAGGCGGUGAGGAUGUCGACUCCUGCGAGGAAGAGACUGAUGAGGGAUUUCAAGAGGUUGCAACAGGACCCCCCUGCCGGUAUAAGUGGUGCUCCUCAAAACAAUAAUAUUAUGCUUUGGAAUGCUGUUAUAUUUGGGUAUGUCUCGGAAGGAGAUUAUACUUUGUUGCCUAUCUCAGUUUUUCUUCAUUUUGAUGGUUUUUUCUUGAAAUCUCGUACAAUUUUAUUUAUGUACAUUGUUUGAAUUGCAGUCCUGAUGACACCCCAUGGGAUGGAGGUAAAAACUGAGAAGAACCUCAUAUCAUAUUGCAAUUGAAAUUUUCUUCUUUCACUUCUAAAUUUUAAGCUAUAUCUUGUAUGAUAUUUUUGUGUUUUCCAGGUACGUUUAAGUUGACACUUCAAUUCACAGAGGAUUAUCCAAAUAAGCCACCAACAGUUCGUUUUGUUUCUCGGAUGUUUCAUCCAAAUAGUAAGUUCGAAACAGAAACUGCACACACACAUGUAUGCACAUAUUACGUUUGUACAUGUAUUGGUACAUAUGUGUGCACAUAGAAACAGAAACACGUGUAUGUUCAUUGAGUAUUGAAUCAUUUUACAUCCAUUUACUUAGCCAAACUAGCUUCUAAUGGGUGAAAAAGGAGCUGAGCAAGGGAAAUAUUUGGUAUUUGUUUUUAAGCUCCCAAGCAUUUGUUAAUUGAGUAUUGAAUCACAAAUCAGCUUCACUUUCACAACUUGUUGCUAGCCUUUAUAGCUUGUUGCUUUGGUUGUGUCAUUUAAUGUUUAUAUUUGUUAAUAUAUUUUAAGAAAUUAACUGGAAUGCAGUUACUUGGAAAUAUUUCAGAUGUUUCAAGUUUUAAGUUCUGCCUUUUUUGUGUGUGUCCCUUUUCAGUUUAUGCGGAUGGAAGCAUUUGCUUGGACAUCCUACAGAAUCAGUGGAGUCCUAUCUAUGAUGUAGCAGCUAUACUUACCUCCAUCCAGGUAUUUGGUUAUAUUCUAUUCGUUGCUUGAUGAUUUUGAGUGCUUUAAUUAAUCAUGACUCUCUUGUUAAGUGUGUCAUGGGAUAAGCUUGUAAUUGGUUAAGACACCAUGCACUGGCGGAUCCAGUAAUUUUCCUUCUUAGGGGCUAGAAUUUCUAAAAUCUGGCUUAGCAUGAAGUGGCUAAUGGAGCCUAUCAACAACCUGUAAACUCUUACCUAAUGCAGCUCAAGUCUUAGCCAUUCCUUCGCCCCCUUGUACUGCCUUAGCCUUUUUUGAGGCAUUUUAUCAAACAGUUUGCCCCCAUUCAACAAAAAAUAUCAUGAGAACUUGACACUUUCUUAGGUGUACAACAAGGCUGAGUGGGGGCUAGUGCCUUCACUGGCUCCUUACUAGAUCCGCCACUGACACCAUGUAUGAAAUCAUAUUUCAUUAUCUUUGAGUCACAAUUGUGGUCUUUGAAAUUCUGAUUGUCCCAUCUUGUCAUUCCAAUUUAUAAGUAACUCUGUAGCUUCUAUUUGAGCACUACUGGAGCAAGGCAUCAUUGAUUGUACUAAUUUCUAUUCCUCCUCAGAAAAUAUUCCGUGUUAUCUGUUUUCUAUCAACCAUCUUACCAAUGCAUUCAACUGCACCUUCAGGCCUAAUUAUGUCAAUUACUUCUUUUCACAAAGUUUGCAUGCAUAUCCCUAUCUGCUGCAUCUCUCAUUCCAAAGAGAGAAUCCUAAAAGCUUGUAGAUAAUCAAGAGUUUCUUAUUUCGCCUCUCUUAACUCAUGGUUGAGGCCUGGCCAAAAGAUUACUCUUGGUUACCACUUCAUAUUGCAUAGACUUAGUAACCAUCUAACCACUUCCAUUUUCCAUUGUAUGGCAUAUGUAUAUGCAUGGAUAUUGUUUUAACACAAAACUUUGUAGCUACUCUCUCUCUCUCUCUCUCUCUCUCUCACACACACACACACACACACACACACGUGUGCAUGCAUGCUUGUGGAUAAAUGACAUUUGAUCAAUGUAAAUAAAUCAAAUAUAAGAUUAUGGAGGAAGUUUACUUUUUUUAGUGUCCGUUGUUUGAGAUGUUAAGUCAUAAUAUUUUCUUAUUGCAGUCAUUGCUCUGUGAUCCAAACCCAAACUCUCCAGCAAAUUCAGAAGCUGCACGGAUGUUUAGCGAGAACAAGCGUGAAUACAAUAGGAGAGUCCGUGAGAUUGUUGAGCAGAGUUGGACUGCUGAUUAGCUUACUCCUGAUGGAGAUCUUUGGAAAAUCAGUUGAACAUCCUGUUUAAAUAACUUUGAAACUUGAAAACCAUUGUGUUGUGAAGAACUUGACUUCUGGUCUUGUGAAAUGUUUGCUCGGGCUUUAAUUCAAUGGCACUAGGCCUCGUAUAUCUAUAUGUUGGACCACCUGCCUUGGAGUUUUCUUUCACCUGCUGCAUUUAAUUUUGCUUUAACCUAUUCGAGCCUGUGGUUGGAGAAAUUGUUGUAUGCAACUGUUGUGUACAAUUGCCCUCACAGUAUCUGGUCAUGCGGAGGUUGGUUUCGAUUGUAUGCAAGAUUUUUUCAUGGGGCUGAGCAAAAACAUGAUUAUUACUCGCUCUGGAAACUUGAACCAAAAUAUAAUCAUGUAUUUGAGUUUUAAAGUUGACGGCUAAGAUGCAUAUGGCAUGUUUGAUUUGUCACUGUUUGAACAUGAAAAGCACUCUAGCUGGAUUGUAAAAUGAAUAAUUUUGUGUUGAUGAAAAAGUUACUAAGAAUUCAUUGGACCAAAGAAGGGUGAAAACUUGAGACGUGCUAAAAAUUGUUUUAAGGUAAAACAGUAAACACGAGCUGUAUUUACAUUUUAUUCAUAUAGACACCGUGCCUAACAAGGAACAGAGUUGAAUGCACUUAUAAUGAAAACGUGUUGUGUUGCUACUACAUCUGAGCGCUAAGGUUGCCGCUGCUGGUCCAUCCCUCUUGAACUUGAAUUGAAUACUGCAAGUUCCAGAGAACAUUAUCUAUGGAAGGACGCUUGCUUGGAUCUCUGCUCAGACAAUUGACGGUGAUUUCGACGGCGGUCUUCAAUGACUGAUACGCAAAACUUCCCUGUAUCGACGAAUCCAUGAGCCCUCUUAGUUUUGAAGGUCCUUCUAUUAAGCCUUUUUCUAACUGUUCAUUGAAAGAUGCAAAGAAAGCCAUUGAAUUAGGUGUUGCAAGAACCCAAAAGAGCAAAAACAAUGACAUGGAGUUCUUUUGUUUUUAGUUUUUCUAUAUUGUUUACCUGAAUCUUUAGCUCAUCCAAUUCACUAGCUGAUUUGAUCAAUCUACCAGUAAGAACUUGAAGUAGAAUAAUCCCCAGCUGAUUAAUAUCUUCCUUCUCAGCUUCGGCACUGUGUAUUUACGGCUCGUAUAAGAUAAAUUUGGAUGCUGCAGUAGAAAAGGAGAGGAACAAGAAGAGAAAAGUAAUACCUGUUUAGAAGAGGUUUACUGCUGCUAAUACCCUGUCCUUUAAGAGGGCUCUCUGAACCAAUCUGGAAAUUAGAAAAUGCAAUCGUUAGCUGCUACAAAAGUUUCCUUUCAAAUUUGACAAGACAAGCAUAUAUAUACUGUAACAUAUUCUCACCUGAAACGGCAAUGGAAGAUUAUAGUUACUGAUUUUAGCAGAAACACUCUCAUCCAACAAUAUGUUCUCUAUCUUCAAAUUAUUUCCAAAGAUGCCAGGUGCAACCCCUGUGUGCAAGAACUGGACCCCCCUUGCAAUGCCAAUGGUAACAGCCAUUCUCUGUGGCCAUUUCAGCCACUCCUUCUUUCUCCAAUCUGCCAAACCAAAGUGUAUUAGAAUUGGUUUGAGUAUUUUAAUUAACCCUUUUAUUGAUGAUCUGAUAAUUGCUUUUAGUUUGAGCUUUACCAGUGAGAUGGUCCACCAAAGAGCCAUUUGAGAUGUUCUCAAGAACAAUAAAUACAGUGCUAGCUGUAGUUGGAUGGUCCUGAUAAGUGACAGUGCAGUGUCCAAGAAGGCUGACCAAAUGCCUAUGCCUCAGCUUUGACAAGGCUUCCAUGCUCUGGUUCAAGUUUUGGGGCAACUGCUUCUGCUUUAAUUUCACACAUUUCACUUGUACCAGUAAACCAUCUCUGAGCCAGCCUUUGUAGACCUGUAAUGUAAAUAUUGCACAGAAAUAAUGCCAUCAAGUUGAUGAACAAUAAUGUUGGCUCCAUCAAAUAAUGCAUUCAAAGCCAGCAAACAGCAAAAAUUCAAUGUUACUACCUGUCCCUGAGAUCCUUCUCCCAUCAAAUUUGCGGCAUCGAAAUUGUCUGUUGCAUCAUCAAUUUCUUCCAAUGUAAAGACACGAUAUGGUGGGAGCCCAAGUGUUGGUAACCUCAUCAUCUGGGGCACACGCCCUGGAAAAUCCAAAUCAAUAUUAAUCAGCUUCAAUGCUUCAUGAACUAAAAACCAUAAAGCAUGCAUCUUUGUUUUGUGUUUUUUUUUUCAGUCAUUAAUGUCAGAGACUUUCAAAGGAAUUAAGGAAACAAAGAAAGACGGCCUUACUUGCAUUGAUGUUCGGCUUUGGGGAGCUUCGAACAGAAAUUUUCUCAACUAUGGAUCUGUCAAAUUUAUCUUCUCUGUUCUGCCCUGCCCUUUUGAUAAUGACCAAAAUCAGCAACCCAAUGACUGCAGCAGCACACACAACACCACCAAUGACACCAAGUAAAAGGCCUAGCUUUAUUUUUGACUCCUGCUCUUGAGUUUUAGCUGGAGGCUUAACAGCCAGUGCUUCCUUGUGGCAAAAUGAAUAUGGAUGCUGAUACUUUGACUUCCCACCAGACAAACAGUUCCAUGAAUCAAGAACAGUUCUGUUCAAAGACUUUGAUCCAAUGCAAGAUGGUAGUUUCCCUAUCAAAAGGUUUUGAGAAAUAUCAACAACUUGGAGCUUCCCAUUGCAGGUUGCAUUGUUUGAGAGAGCACCACUUAGUUGGUUUUGAGCCAGAAUGAGGUACUGAAUUGAAGGCAGAGAGAACACGAAAGCAGGGAUUGGCCCCACCAAUUUGUUGGAAGAGAUGUCUAAUUUCUGAAGCAGAUCAAAGUUCCUCAAUGUUGGAGGAAUCUCAGAUCUCAUGGAAUUGUUUCUCAGAAUGAUACUUACAAGACUAUUUCCCAAUGAAGGAAAUCCAGGUCCUAGGUGGUUGUUACCCAAAUUGAUUUCUUCAAGAGCAGCUAAGCUUUUAAGAUCUGGCACACUCCCAUUGAACAAAUUGUCAGCCAAAACUAUGCUUCUAAGAUUCUUCAUUGAACUGAGGGAUGCAGGAAUCUGCCCAUAAAUGAAAUUUGAGCUAAUGUUGAGCUCCUCGAGUGACCAGAACCUGUUGAUCUUGGCUGGCAAUGGACCCCACAAACCCAGUGACACCAAGGAAAGCACUUUCAAGUUGGAAAGCUUUGUGAGAAGUGUGAAGAAAGAAUCAAUGGAAAAGCUUUUGGACAGGGUCUGCUGAGAAAUCACAAAACUCCCUGAAACUGGUUUUGGGCUGUGAGAAGGGGAGCUUUUGUUUCCAAUGACAGUUAAUUCGGUUAGACGAUUAUUUGUACAGACAACCUUGAGAGAAGGUGUGGGAGGGAGGUAACAGAAGUUGGUCCAAUUUGUCCAUACUUGAAGAGCUCCAGGGUAUUCAAGAAGCUUCUGAAAUUGGAAAAGAAUUCGGCUCUCACUUGGAGUUAACUGCCCAAUCGAAAUUGGAGUGAAAAUGGCUAGAAUGAGAAACAACGAACAGAAAGAAACCAAGAAAUUCUUCAUUAUUCAGAAAGCUAAAUGCACAUGAGAGAAAGGUUCGAGUCAUACAAAUGAGAUUAAGAACUUCAAAAACAGAGAACGCAGAACUGCAACCACAAUUCUAUCUAUAUAAAGUUGAUAGAAAAAGCAGAAUUUAAGUUCUGGGUUUUGUUUAGAACAGCAAAUGCUUUAAGAAAUGAAUAGAAUAAGAAGGUAGCAGGUAUGGAGCAUCAAGAUCUUGGGUUUGGUGUACAAAGAUAACAAGAAAAGAUUUUACCGAGAAAGCAAGAGAGAAAAAUUCUUGUGGGUGAUGAAAGCAAAAGCACUCAAAUUUCAACAAAAAGGAAGAGAACCAAUUAUUGUGCAGAGAAUGAAGGAUCUGAAAAGACUGAAAUUUCAGAAUUUUAAGUGAAGCAAGCUGAAGCAGGAGACAGUGCAAGUGAGCGUCAGUCAAGUUCAAAGUAGAAAGGGACAAUGCAAGCCAGCCCAUCCUGAUCCUGCGCUACGCAAACCAAUAUUUUAAGCUGCAAACUGGUUUAUCUUUCUCAAAGUUUCAAACUUUCUACUGCCACUUGUUUUGUUUGGCCUCAAGUCAACUUGGGCUCUGAUUCAUUUGCGAGAACCUCGAUGUUGACCACGUUUAUUAUGGCAAACUUGCGACUAGUAUCUCAAAACUUACGCUCCAUAGGCACUUGCGGUUCGUGAUGGCCAGGCUUGUAUUUAUUUGAGCUCAUGAUGAAAUCACGAGAUGUUCUUGUUCACGUAAAAUUGUUCAUCAUCAUCAUCAUCAAAGUUACGAGGAAAAAUAGUAUUAUGUUUAUCAUACCAAAAAAAACAAAUCCAUUGUUAUGUUAAAUUAAAAUCCUUUUCAUGAAAUCUUGUAGCGUGAACACAUGCCGAGCAUUAAAGUGAUUGUUUUGUGACGAAACCUAAAUUAAGUGGGCAAGAGUCUAAUCUCUUUAUCCCUAUUUAGUAUGUGAGGCCCCCUAUGCCUUCGGGUCAGUAGUAAGGGGCACCCCACCACCGACAAUGAGUGAUCCUUUUCAAGUGAGAGUUCAACUUUUGUUAUUUUCUGAAUGAAAAAGACAAAAGACCCCACCUCAAGUAAUCUUUUGUAGGAUUGUUUCAAAUAAUUGCUAAAAAAAUUUGUUAACCAGAAUGCCUCUGAGUCUAUGUCGGUCGAAAAUAUGAGUCAUCCAAAUAAUAAGUGGAGUGACAAAUAUGCAUAUGUCGUUUUGUGUUGAUGAAGUUGUGUCGGUCUACGAAUAAGAGGAAAGGAAAAAAGAAAAAAAGAAAAAGAAAAAGGGGAGAGAAUUGGAUACUUUGAUUAAGACAUAUAAUAGGUGUUAGCUCUACCUAAUCCUUUUUUUAUUUAUUUAUAAAAUUAGAUUAACUCACUGGGAUGCGGGUGGUGCUCCUUCCAGCCAGCCUGACACUUGUUUUUAUCUAUCUGUGUGUUACGUGUUUUGUUCUUUCUUAUGGAAACAAGCUUUGUUUGCAAUUUGCAAGACGACGACUUGUUAGUAUCUUCAAAUAUGUACAUACAAGAAAAAGAAAGCCUUGAAUUCAAUGAAACAUUAAUGAAUAUUUAUGUGUUAAUGUUUUAUACAACUUGGUGUUACAAUAUUUUUAUAUAUUUUUUUCUUUUUUUAGCGAAUGAUUCCAUUGAAGUAAAAGAUUCUGGAUUGUUUGACACAUAAGAAGUUCAAGGUUUAGUGUGCAUGCGUUGCCAAACAAAGAAAGUUGCAUGAGGAAUUAAAAAUACUUAUCCUCCGUGGACCCAAAUUUGUAAUUAUUGGAAUUAGCUUCAACUUAUACUCAUUUUCCAACUUAUUGUCCACUUAAAUGCAACAACUAUUCCUUCAAUCAUUCAUAUAUGAGAGAGACCUUUGUCUUCAAUUUAUUGAAUCAUUCAUAUAUGAGAGAGACCUUUGUCUUCAGUUUCUUGUAGUGAUAUGAUCAUCAAAUAAUGUGGGAGAAAAUAAAUUUGGUACCGAUCCGUUAUGGGAUUAGAUUUAGGCGCAACCCGAUUCGUUAUAGGAUUGGAUUUAGGCGUAACUCAAUGCGGGUUUGGAUGUGCAUUAACCCAAUGCGGGUUCGAAUGUGCAUUAACCCAAUGCGGGUUCGAAUGUGCAUUAACCCAAUCCGAAUUUUGAUGUGCACCACCCAACAUGGGUUUGGAUGUGCGUCACUCAACGUGGGUUCACGUGUGCACCACCCCAUAUGGGCUCAUACACGAACAACCUGACCUGGAUUUAUAGGUAUAUUCAGUGGCGGAGCUAGGAUUCUUAGUAUGGAGGGGCCAAAAUUUCAAAAUUACUUCCACUAGGUUUUUCAUCUUCAACUGAGAGGGCCAUCACUAAUCUAAUUGCAGUAAUUGUAUUGCUAUAUCAUAUAUUUUAUAAUAUAUUACAAGAGAUUAAUAAUUAAGUGGGGGGGGCCAGGGCCAUGGCAGGCCUGGCUGUAGCUCCGCCCCUGGGUAUAUUCAAGCAUUCAUACUCCCAUAUCCACAUGAAUUGCGGGACAAAACAAACAUGGUUAAUGGUUGAUCCUGUAUCUCUCAAUGACUUGAAAAUGACGAAAGUGGGCAUAGGACGUGCAAAGUGGAGUUUGUAUCCCAAGGCUAUCACUAGGUAUAAAGGUGAAGUUUCAUAGCCAAAUGAAGGUAUGUGAUUUCAAGUUAACUCGUGCACUCAAAUACAUACAAAAAUUGACUUAAGCGUCGGAGUACCUUUUGUAGGUACCCCACCCUCUCUCAUUUAAUUUCAAAGGAGCGUCGCUUAGAGAUUUACUUAUCCUCCGUGCGGAAGUAAAGCCGAGAACAUGUGGAAGAUAUUCCUAUUGUAAUAAUUUAUGCUCUAAUAGUUGGCGAUGUCUAUGGGAACUCUCACAAAAUCAAUCAAUAGUUGAAUCCGCAAAAGACGCUCUAGCCUAAUCUAACCCCCUGAUCCGCAAAUGUCAUAUCAAACUUUCAGGAAGGAGAACCCAGUCUCGCAGCCAUCCAGCUUAAGAGGGCACUGAAGGAGUUGCGUGAAACGAAGAAGAUGGAGACCAAAGCUUUAGAGAAGUUCAAGGGCAACUACAUGUCGCAUCCGGAAGGCCCUAAGGGAAUCAAAAGGAAAGAGAGGACAAAAUUAUCUGAUGAAAGUUCCACGAGAAGUAUUCACUCCGAUGAUCAGCACUAUGACUAUGAGGACAACCACGACCAAAGAAGGGAAUUAAAAAAGUCCAAAGAGAGCUAGCUAUGAAGACAAAUCGAGAAGAUUGUGAUGGGGUAAAAACUGCAAACACGUGCCAAAUUGGCCGUUGAAGCUGCACAGGGGAUCUGCACAUCGUCCUUCACCAAUGAUAUUCUGAAUACUAAGAAGCCCGCAAAGUUUGCUCAGCCCAAAUUUAAGUUAUUCAAAGAUAUAACCAAUCCCAUUGAGCAUAUUUACCACUUUCAAUAGCAGAUGGUCCUCAAAGAAAAGACGAAAGGUUGUUGUGUAAACUAUUUCCGUCUAGCCUAUCAGGGUUAGCCUUGACGUGGUUCAGGCAGCUGAUGCCAAAGUCCAUCAGCAGCUUCACUGAGCUUUGUGAUGCUUUCAUAUCUUAAUACUUGUGCAAUCAAAUGAGAAAGAAUGAAAUUACAACAUUGUUCAGCACAAAGCAAAAGUUAGGCGAAAGUCUAAAGGAUUAUCUGAAGUGAUUCACAAAGGAAAUGUCUACUUUAGAGACUUAUGAUUCUCAUAUUGCGUCAUUGGCAUUCCGCGAAGGAGUGACGCUGGGAACAAAGAUGCAACAUUAUUCCAAGAGGAGAACUACCUCCAACAGCCUAUUUUCUAUGUCAGUAAAAGCCUAAUUGAUGCUAAAAAGAGAUACACCCCUACAUAAAAAAACCUAGUCUUGGCCUUGGUAAUAGCCAAGAAGAAGCUUCAACAAUAUUUUGAGACUCAUACCAUUACAAUGCUCACAAACCAACCUAUUAAAGCAAUCUUGUCCAAUCUAGAUCUGUCGGGAAGAGUCACAAAAUGAGCUAUCAAGCUAGUAGCAUUUGACAUCAGGUACCAACCUCGAACAUCUCAAUAGGGAUAGGUAAUUGCUAAUUUUCUUGUCGAACGUGAUCCCAAAAAGGGAAUGUAGGAGAAAUCGAGUGAUGGAGAAGAAGCAGGGUUUGUCAGGAAACGCUGUGGGAAUUAUAUGCAGACGACUCAUCCAACCGGGCGAGAGCCAAGGUUGGGAUUUCCUUUUAUCGCCGGAAGAGAUUGAGUUAGAAUACUCCAUCUAGCUGGACUUCCUCGCCUCAAAUAAUGUUGCUGAAUAUGAAGCCUUGGUGUUGGAAUUGAAGAUUACCAGACUACUAAAAAUAAAAAAAUUGAAGCUGUAUAGUGACUCCCAACUUAUAGUCAAUCAAGCAAAUGAGGAAUAUACAGCCAAAGAUGAAAAGAUGGAGGCAUAUCAACAAUUGUCAAGGCAUUUGUUUAAGCAAUUUGAGAAAUUCAAGUUAAGGCAAAUUUCAAUAGAGCAAAAUGAAUGGGCAUAUUGGUUGGCAUGUGCGACAUCAGCCUCAGCUUCAGGAGAAGAUUCUAUAAGGGUCGUAUCAAUAGAGUGCUUAGAAAGCCCCAGUAUGGAAGCUGACGAAUCCAAAGUUAUGCAACUGGACUUGAGUGAAACGUGGAUGACACCAAUAGUAAGCUACCUAAUGGUAGGAACGCAACCCCGAGAUCCAAUUGAAGCAAGAAAACUCAGGAUAAAGAGUGCCAAGUAUGCAAUCAUAGAAAAUGUCAUAUUUAGGAAGUCAUUUUUAGGUCCUUAUAUACGCUGCCUAAGCUUAUUCAAUGUAGAGUGGACUCUGAAAGAACUACAUGAGAGGACCUGUAGCAAUCACUAUAGGGGAAAAGCUUGGCACACAAGGCUAUAACGCAAGGCUACUUCUGGCCUAACAUGGCUAGAGAGGUCGAGCAAUUUGUGCGGAAAUGUGAUAAGUGCCAAAAACAUGCGCCUACGAUUAAGCGGCUAGCAGAAUAACUCAGCCCGAUCAUGGGACCAUGGCCAUUUGCCCGGUGGGGAAUGGAUAGGACCAUUACCAAUUGCGCAUGGGGGGAAGAAAUAUGCUCUUUUUGCCACAGACUAUUUCACCAAGUGGGUGAAGGCCAAAGCAUAUGUAACUAUAACCUGACUAAUGUGAUAAAGUUCAUUUGGCGCAACAUCAUAUGCAAGUUUGGGAUACCCAGAGCCAUUGUUUUAGACAACAGGACUCAAUUCCACAAUUGAAAGUUCAUGAAAUAUGGCAUAGAGAUAGGGAUCACUCAACAAUUCUUAUCUCGCAGCUAUCCCCAAGGAAAUGGCCAAGCAAAAAAGACAAAUUGAACAAUUUUUGAUUGCAUGAAGAAGAAACUUGAGCAACGCAAGGGAAAAUGAUUUAAAGAGCUACCAAACGUGUUGUGGGCAUACCGAACCACCAGGCGAAAGCCAAUUAGGGAAAGUCCUUUUUCUUUGGCCUAUAGUCCUACAACCCGAAUGGUGGUGGUGAUGGAUGGAAAAGAUAACGAUUAACAGGUUGCUCGUAACCUAUAUUUGAUUGAGGAACAUCGAGAGGUCGCAUCGCAAUCUAUAUAGAUUACAAUAUGUAAAGUAAUUGGGUGGAUCCGCUUAUCAGAACCAGGUUGUUAAUUACUUUAAUAAACGAAUCUACCUAAGAAAGUUCAAAGUUAGUGAAUAGGUCAUCGAGAGAGUAAUGGAAAACACCAAAGAUCUUAAUACAGGCAAGCUUGGUUGCUCAUGGGAAAAACCGUUCGAGGUCACAUAGGUAUACAAAAAUGAUGCCGAUAAGCUGAAACGGGUUCAGACUGGUCAAUAUAUGCCAUGCCCUUGGAAUGCAAUUCAUUUGAAGAAAUAUUAUGUUUAAAUUCAUUUACUUAUCCAUUAUUUCACAUAUAUUUAUUAAAUAAAAUCAGCACUUUCCAUUUAAAUUUUAAUUCGUGCACUUGGCUUAAAUUUGUUGUGAACCCAGCUAGGUUGAACUUAUCAGUCGGAUCUAUGCUGAACUUACCACUACCCUGAGGUUACCAAUCCUCUGGGACCAAUCAGUCGGAAACAUACUGAUCACAACAUCACCCAGGAGUUACAAAUCAUAUGGUGUCCUGAUUGUGAAAGAUCUGCAGAAGUAUUUUGGGAUUGAGAAAAUACUGAACAUCCCAAACUUGACCUACCAAGUGAUAGUUUAACCCCUAGAUCUGUGCUUGAGCAAGGACAAUCUCCGAUCAGGUUAGGUUGUGCACUACAAAAUGAAGUAACCACUUAAUAAGCUUCCUUUGCAAAAUCAUAUCAAAGUCAGUAUUAGAAGAGUAGUCAUAAUAAGGAAUACUAGGUUCGAGCCCGAAUGAUGAAGGAAUAGAGGUACAAAACACCUCAAGGGCUGCCUAAUUCCCGAUAAUCAUUAAGGUUUGGGUCUUCCAAUCCUUCGCGGAAGAUGGUUUGUAGCCAAAGAACUUACGGGUAGGCUGAGGGGUUAGGUAGAAAUACUCAGUCUCACACCUAACCGUGCUAACAUAAUGGUGGUAAAAGAAAUCUACAAAGCCUAGUGACACCCCCCUAAUUUGAUGCCAACUGCCAACAUACCACUAAUCAAUAAAUACGAUUUCGGAUUUAACUGCAUAGGGUGGAGGUUCAAAAAAUUCAACACAAGUUGAAAUAAGGGAUGAAGUAGAAACCUAAUGAACUCUAAGUGAGAUGGUGAGAGCAUAAAGGCUCAUUAUGAGAUUCCAACCCAUGUGUACAUGUCUGCUUCCUUAGGUAACCGAUCAAUAUUAACAUUGUUAGAGAUAUGAAAUUUCUCUAUCAUCUUAUUUAUCUAAGACCUCCAGGGAUAUCCCCCCCUUUGACUUUGACCAAAGAUUAAGUCUUGGUAUUGAAGUAACAAGAAAGAACACGGAUGAAACAAAACUUGCAUGAGAGAGACAACUUGAGAAAGGGAUGCGUACAGCAAGAUCAGCUCAAUGUGAGUUAGGUUCGGAGAUCGACACAACCCAAACCGAAUAAGUGAGACUUGAGGAAACCCGGUUUAGUAGAAACACAACCCCGAAAUGGAAAUGCUCAAAUAAGGUAAGUCUCAUGCAACGUCAUAUUUGAGAUAGUCAAAAUCAAACAUAGCCUAAAAGAAGUGUGAUCAAAAGGAAUAUUUUUUUAGAGAAAAACAAGUUGGUUAUUUGCAUGGACCAGUAAAUAGUACAAGCCUAGUAACCACAAAACAACCAAAGAGCCUAAACCCUAUGUUUAAACAAAUCAAAACCAACUACAGUGCACAAGUAUCAAGUAUGCACAUUGAGCAUUAGUGUAUUGUCACUAUAUAUUACCUAUAUGUAUAUGUGAAUUAAUUAAGUAUGGUCAUGCACAUAUACAUAUUUAUAUGCAUAUUAAAAGAAUGCACAAGUUGCAUGUAUAUGGCUUAAGUGAACAUUAUCCAUACAUAAGUAUACAACACGUACAUUUCAUAUUAGUUGUUUGCUUCAUAAUGUGUGAACAAAUUACAGUACAUAUUUACUUUAUAUAUGGCAUAUAUUUUAAAUGAGAUAAAUUUCAUAUAUAUAUAUAUAUAUAUAUAAGUUCUUUAGUCCCCAUCAAAGUUCUUCAAUCAGAACUUCAAUAUAGUUACUAUGAUUAUAUCGAAGUAUGGUAUUCUAUCUUGCUUCACCAAACAGUUGAUUUUAGUCAUUCAUGGUUCCUAAACUUUGACAGCAAAUUCAAGAGUCUUUUCCCCUACUGGUUCAAUCAUUGGUGGGAAAAACAUGGUCCACUCAUUGAUCUAUUUCCUCCUCCAAUGCAAGACUUAGUCAAUUAUUUUACUAAUAAAAAUAAGUUUAAAGAAUCUGAGUUGUUCUUCCCAAAUCUUCUCCAUUUUGUCGCCAAGUAUAAAGUCCCUUGGAUCCUCAAAUGGUCUUACCAGGUUAAUUGGGAAACCAGAGUCCUAUCCCGUCAAUUUUCAAUCAAAUAGUGGGAUAAAUUUAAACUUGAACGUAUUGUAGAUUAUGUUUAUGCUGAUUUUCCUCUAGUCAGGAAUCCACAGCCUGAGAAAAAGUCAUCCUCUGCUACUUCACAUUCUUCUCUCGCAAUCGAGGGAAAAUCUAAGUAUGAGUUGCAGGAAAUUGCUCGUCAACUAAUGUUACAAGCCACACAGAUGAAUGAAGACGAUGAUAGCGAUGCCACUCCCAAGUCGCAGUCAUCUACUAGCCAACCAAAAUUAUCCAGUCAAAAGACUUCAGCCCCCAAAAUGCGGUGAAGUGAUUAUCCCCUUGAUGAUCAAAUCCAUGGUCAAGAUCCCUAUGAUUUUAGUCCUCUUGACCUCGGAGAUGAUUAAAGUUGCCCAAAUCAUGAGCCCCAAAGAAGAUAAAGCAUUUGGAAUCUUGGACCUGUGCUUCAACAGUCUGAUAGCCCGUGCUCCUUUAGUCAGAUUCUCCGACAAAGUAAAAGUUACAGCACUCAGUAAAAGCAAAUGCUUUCGCUGCUUCUAAGUCACUCUCCAAAGCAUCCAAUGUUACCAGCUCACUUUUAUUUGCUUAUUUAAGAAGGCUUCGGCCUCAGUUAUCAAUAGAAUGUAAACUAGUCCACUUUCUUUUCUUAGUUUCAAAGUUCUUUCAGUAUCAAUGCUCUGAAGAACUAAGUGGUGAAACAAAGAUUUUGUAAGUAUUUUGCAUUCUGCAAGUUAUCAAGUUAUCAAUAAUAUUUUGAGUAAUGCUAUUUUGCUUGCAUAUAUUUUCAUCUAUUCAUUAAUUUGCUUCAUGCAUAAAUUGCGUCUGUUCUAUAAUCUCUGUGCUUAUACAUAUUUCUGCUUUAUUCUAUCUCUCUCUGGUUCUAGACCCCUUCUGGUAUCAGAGCCGUAAGUGUUGAAGAAUUAGUCUAAGUCUGCAAUUCAUCCAACCCAAGUGGCUGAUUUAGGUUUUCUGAGUUGUAAGUUUUCAGUUUCUUCUCUUUCUACUUCUGGUCUUUCAAUCUACCUGUCAUUCUCUCUCUUGGUGUCCGAAUUGUAAGUGCCGUUCCAAACAGUAAGUCCCAGGGAGGCCUGAGCGAUAGUGGCAUUAGUAGGAGGACGAGAGAAUUUUAGGUAUCCUGUUAUCCCAUGGAGUUAGUCUUAGGAGUUUCUAUUCACUUCCUUCUUUAGAAAUCCAACCCCAGAACCUUGAGAAAUAUGAGUUGCUUAUUUAGAACUAAUUCUUGCAAUUCUAGCAGCUCUAGAGCCAAUAGUUGUAUCCCAUAGAUAGUUAAUGAAGAACAAGUUGAGUAUGAUAAUAGUAAUAAUAAUUUAGAUUAUAAAGAUUGGAAUAUACCUAGAGUCCCCAGUUAGGACAUCUAUAAGAAAAAAUGGUCAUUAUCCAGCUUUAAGUCAACCACCCAUGUUAAAACAGUCGAAAAAGUCUAUGCCUUGAGUAAAAAUCAUGAGACCUGUCAAUUGCUUAAUCUUGAGUCAAUAAGAAAACAUAAAAAUGAUGGAAACAAUUUCCUCCAUAUUGGUUUAGUCCAAGUCGCUGUCAAGCCAUUAACCAUAUUAGGAUUAAAAGCUUCAAUCCUUCUCUGUUUGCGUGAUGCUAGAUUUACUAAUUUCAACGACAGUACGUUAAGAAUUAUUGAAUCCAGUCUUGCCAAUAGCCUUAUUCAUUUUGAUUGCUACCUAGAUUUCACUAUCAGCCUGAGUGAUCCACACAUAUUAAAAGCUCUCAUUUUAAAUAUUAAAACUGAAGGUUAUGAGGUCUUGCCAGGAAGCCAACCCUUGGCACUAAUCUGUCGAAUUUAUUAUAAAGUCACAGACACCAAUAUGAAUUUUCAAGCCUUAAACAAAAGUCCGAAGAGUCAAACUUUGUUAAUCCAAAGUCAUACGCCUAAUGCUACUGUUAGAGUUCCUCACUCUAUCAAAUGGUCAGAUGUUACCCUUCCUGCUGAUUGGGCCCUAACCACUGAGAUUCCUCUAGUCCUCAUCCAGUGUAGUCUAAAUGAUUUAGACUACAUACAACAAUAUUUAGAUGGCACAGUAAAAAUUAAUUUUGGUAAUCAAGCCCCAUAAAAGUCGACAGUCCAGUUACAACAGUUACCUACACCUGGUCAAUCCCAAAGAACGUGCAAAUAUUUGUUUGGAUGCAAUAUUUUGAACAUCUUUUUCUAAUACAUGCUUAGCAGAUUUGCAAUCAACUCGGAUUAAAAUUUUUUGAUUUAAUAAAUCAGAUUGAAAUUUAUUAAUGCAUAAUACAAUAGAUAAUAUCUCUUUUUUAAUAGUAUUGUAAUUAUUUUGGGACUGAGACCAAGUGCCAGAAUGGAAUCGAAUGAUUUGCUCAGAUUGAUUAGGAUUGAUUCUUUGUUUGAGGAUACCUCCAUAACCAAUGUUAGAGGCAUCAGUUUCAACUAUUUUAAAUGCAUCAGUAGAAGGGAUACCAAGACAGGGAAGUGUCUUAAUAUGAGUUUUGAUUUGUUUGACUAUAUUAGUAUGAAUAGAAGACCAAGGAGGAGGAUUAUUUUGGAGACGAUCAAAUAAAGGCUUACAUUGUUUUCUCAAAUUCUUAUAGAAAUAAGAAACAUAAUUUAGAGAUCCUAAAAAUCUCUGAAGUUGACUUUUGGCUAGGAUUUGAUCAGGAAACUUAUCGGCAAAUUGAAUGACUUGGUCUAUGGGGCUAAUCUGUGAUUGGCAGAUAUUAAACCCAAGAAAUCUCACAUUAGUUUGGAAUAACUUAAUUUUCUUAGCAGAGACAACUAAUUCAUUUUGUUUAACUAUCUGUAAGAACUUAUACAAAUGUUUCCAGUGCUGCUCUAUCGACUAAGAAAAGAUAAGCACAUCAUCAAUAUAGACAAUGGAGAAGUGACUAUAUGGAUUAAAAAUCUCAUUCAUUAUAUUUUGAAACUCACUUGGUGCAUUCUUAAGACCAAAGGGCAUAACAUUCCAUUCGUAAUGACCGAAAGGGGUAACAAAAGCAGUUUUAUAUCUAUCAGACUCAUGAAUUUGAAUUUGCCAGAAACCACUCUUCAUAUCAAACUUAGAAAAGAUGACUGACUUUUCUAAUAUAUUAAUUAAAUCUCUUUUAUUAGGAAUCGAAUAUCUAAUCCAUUCUAAGACAGUAUUUAGUGACUUGUAAUUAAUGACUAAUUUUGGGACUCCGCGUUCUAAUUCAGCAUUUUUCUGGACAUAGAAAACAGGACAAGACCAAGGUGACUUACUAUUACGGAUUAUUCCUUUCUCAAGUAAUUCAGUAAUCUCAGUUUUACAAAAUUCCAUUAAUUCUUGGCUUAUUUGAAUUGGUCUGGCUUUAGUGGGGAUAUUUUUCUCACUAAAGGUCUUAACAUAAGAGAGACUGACUACAUGUUAUUUUCUAUGCCAAAAGGCAUUGGGUAACUCAGAACACACUUUUUGUUUUAGUUUUUCUUCAAACUAUUGAAUUUGUGACUGUAAAGGCUCAUGACUAAGCUGUUGCUCAAUUCUUUUAGAUUUAACUUCUUCUUGGAGAAAUCUUAGUUGCUUAUUCUUAUUCUGAAUGACUCUGACUGUUUUAGUGACUGCACUCUUCUGUAAUUCUUUUAAAUUAUGUAACUCUGGUUUACUCAGAAAUUCAAACUUAACCUUUUCUCCUAAACAGGUGGAAAAGACACCAUCUGUUCUACCUGGAAAGGAUAUAAAAGGGCUAUAAAGGGUAAACCUAGGAUGACUUCAUCAAUAAUGUUCUUAACUAAGACAAAUGAGGUCUUAAAACAGAUUUUAUUUUGACAGACAUGGGCUUUAGGGAUCUCAUAAUUCAAUUGAAAUGACUUUCCUGAAGCUGUGCUUAAUAACUCUUUUGACUUUUUGUAAUAUUUAGUAGGGAUUAGACCUUCCUGGAUGCAGUUAAGGUCGGCUCCUGAAUCAAAUAGGGCAACUGUAUUUAACUCAAAAUUCUUAACAAAUAUGGUGACCUUAGCGUACCAUUUUCUAAAAUUGACUUGUCUGAUUAAAUUGAUGACAGGGUCCUGAUUGGAGGGUUCUUCAUUAGAAUUUGUGGGACUUACUGGUGUAGACGUAGAAGUUUUCUCUAAUAGGUUAACUAAAUCUUGUUUUAUCUCAUAAUUUUCACUUUGCAGCUUUUGACUUCUUUUUUUUUAUGGAAAAACCCCAGUACAGGAAGAUACUAAGUCUGAGUUCCCUGAUUCACCUACUCAAUCUGAUUUCAUAGGUAAUCAGCUAAGAACACUUAAUAAAAAAAAAUUGUAAUUGAUUGGAAAAGAUUAGAUAGUCACCUUCAUGUCCCUGAGAAUCAAGUUAGAAGAGAUUAUUACCAUUCAGUCAUCCCUGAUAGAGUAAAAAGACAAAAUAAUUUUUAAUGAUUGGAAAGAAUACAUGCGCACUGCUAAAGUUGAAAUUUAUUAUCUUGAUUUUGUAGGAAGCCGACAUUUGCCCAAUGAGUUAAAAACUUUAACCCAUGAAAAAUGGGAAAAAGUAGAUCACACUGAGAUCCUUGCUUCUUCCUCUACUCUAGAACGAGACCUAGAGUUAGAGAAAGCUUUAAUUGAUUUAAAAUUAGAAUCACUGCGGAAAACUUCCCAAGUUACCCAUCCUGUUUAUGGAAAAACCCCAGUACAAGAAGAUACUAAGUUUGAGUCCCCUGAUUCACCUACUCAAUAUGAUUAACUCAAUGAUUUCUUUUUUGACUAACUUUACCUCUAGUUGUAAAUCCUAUAAAGUGACUUUUUUUUAUAUAUUAAAUUUUUCUAAGGUUGUGUUUAGACUUAUCUUUUGGGAGGUAGAUUGUCUCGGUUCUUCUUGACUAAUGACUUUCUUAAUUUCUUUAAAUACUCAGAUUUCAACUAUGGGUUUUCAACUUUACUUAUUAAAUCAAUUAAUAAUUCUUCUUGUUUUUCUUGCUUAGUAAGAUAACUAAUCGACUUAGACUUACAGCAAUUAUCUUGGCAACCAAAUUGACUUCUGGGUGAGCUUAAAUGAGAAUCUGAGGAGAUAGAUUCUAAAGACUCAGUGUCACUAACCAUUGUUUCAUUUUCACUUGACUCAGAAUUUCUUAACUCAAGGACUUUAAUCAGUUUAUCCUUAUCCUCAUCUGUGAUUUUCAAUUGUUUGAUUGUGUCUUUAACUUUGCAAUUAUUAGCAUAGUGACCAAACUUUUGACAUUUGUAACAUUUUACUUUUCUCUUGUCGGUAUUUUUGUUAAAGUGGCUUUUCUUAUCUUUUCCGUGACUCUUUUCUCAAUUUUUCUUAGGGGAGAAUCUCUUUUUACUAUAAAAUUCUUUAUCAUCAUUAUUAUGUUGGAAUGACUGUCUUCUGUGUGAAUAAUGACGACGUUUACUAAAUUGUCGGUUGUGAUGACUGGGCUUAUUCUUUCUAGAUGGGGGAGUAGACAUUAGACCAUACUGGUCGCAGAAAUUACCUAACUCAUAUUUAGCAGAAUUUCUUUCAGACUGAAUUUGUUUACCAAUUUUCAUAUCAACACACAUUCUCAUACCGACUUGAUUAAUCGUGCUAAUUAUAUUUCCAUAUGUUAGACUAUCCCAAUCAAUAUGGCAUUGCUCAUUACUAAGGGUUGUUCGGAUUUUAUGGGCGAAUAAAUUAGGAAGACCAUUAACAAAUUUCUCUUUCCAAAAUGAUUGAUUACUAUCGUCCCUAAUCAUGGCUCUGUAAAUAAACACAUCUUUAUACCAUCUAAAAUCAGAUAAUUUAGGGCAUCUUAAAUUACUAAGCUGAUCAUGAAUUCUAGCAGUAGUGUUACUGGGUGUUCCAAUGAAAUGCUCAACUAUUGUGUAUAGUAGGGUGUUGACUCCAUCUUCAAUGCCUCGACCUAUUUGUUCAUCGAAAAUAGGAAGACCGUCUUCAUUAAGUUUGACUGCAUGAAUUAUUUGUUGCUUAGACUCAUAGGUUAAAUGCUCGUCCCACCAAGAACGAAGAGUUCCGGUGAAACCAGUUUCUAAUAAGGGAACGAUUUCAGACUGUCUGAAACUAUGGUUGGUGAUGUAACUAUUGGCGACCAUGGACAUAUGUUGAAGUUUAUUAAGGAUUUCUUGCUCAGAAAGACCAUCAAUAUUCCAUUCAUAUAGCUUAUCUGAAGAGACUGAAAACUGACUUUGAGUGUUUCGUUCUUCAAAUUGUAUAUCAGGAGGUGUGGGCUUAGGAUACCAAUUCAUUGUAUGACUAGUUGGGCUAACUUUGUUCGUUAUUCUUUGGACUUGUGGAUUACUUUCUAGUUCAAGAUUCUUAAACAUGUUUUCAAUUUUAGAAAUAUUACUAGUUUCUGUUUCCAUACUGACAAUUGACUCAGACUCAGAGGAGUUAUGGAAAACAAAGGGUGACUCGGAAGACCCUAAGACUUUAACACUUGUUUCAACUUUUUCUUUAUCUUUUCUUUUGACUGGGGUUAAUUCUUCUAACAUUUUCUCAAUUUUUGUCAUUGUUUCUUUCGUCUUAAAAGUGGGAUUUGAUUUUAAAUCUUGGAAUGUGACUAAAGGUUUUUCAUGUUGCUUAGGUGUGAGUUCUUUCGGUAAUAAUUUGUCAACUUUUGUUUCUAUCUUAUCUAAUUGUUUACCUAUGACAACUAGACUCUAGUUGGUGUAAUUAUUCUACUGAACUAUUAUUUUAUUUUCUGGAUCAGGGAUCUUAAAGGGACGGGCGACUAUUAUAUAUAUAUAUAAGUAUUUUAUUAUGCGAGUCUUUUUACAUACCCACAUAUAUAAAUGUCACUUAUGUCUACUUGAGGUAUCUGUGCGUACACAUAAUUUAUUUCUUUCGUGUACAUGCAUACAAGCAUAUGAAUAUAAUUAUAUAUGCAUGCUCAUCACAAACAAAUUAGUGCACUAAGGGGAAAUUAGUGCGAGUAGACAUAUAUAGAUUAUUUCCUAUCUAAUUGAUACCUUGACAACAAGAUUAUCAGCGGCGAAGGAAACCACAAACACUCGGGACGUUUAGGAACUGUGACAAAUUGUUUAACUUCAAAGAAGAACGAUGUCUGUGGUGAGAUUUUUCCUCUCCUCCCUUCCUAUUUUCCUCUUCCUUUUCUCCCUUCUUUUUGCUUUCCUUUCGAUUGCUUCUAUCAUAUACACAUAUUCUUUUGUAAAUGGAGAAGAGGGCACGUAAUUCUAAGGGAGAAAGGGAAACAUUAAAUCAAUGUCGGGUGUAAGGGCUUUGGAGGUUGAACUGUUAGCCCAUCAAAAUCUGCUACUUUUGGGGAGUCCCUUAAGUGCAUGGUGGGUUAGAGGAUGCGUCUUGUCAAAGUGGGUGAAGUGUAAUUGCUGGAGCUGCAAUUUGCUUUUGCUAUCAACACAACAUUGCUAGUUGUAAUUCCCUUAGGUGUAUCAAACUUUUAUGAGCCUUUACAACGUUAUUUAUUAUUAUUGUCUUAUUGUUAAGAGAGUCCAGUACAAACCUAUACCUGAUGGUCCAAGAUAACAAGGUUAAAAUCCUAGAGAGAAUAUGAGAUGAGUUAAAUUUUUCCCUUUACCGCAUGUUAGGCACGAGUAGGAAAAGGAAAAAAAGGGGGCAAUGUGGGAGCAAGUAAAUUUGGUACCAAUCUGCUACGGGAUUGGAUUUAAGCACAACCGAAUGCUGGUUUGGAUGUGCAUUAACUCACUGCGGGUUCAGAUGUGCAUUAGCCCAAUGUAGGUUUGUAUGUGCAUUAACCCAAUGCGAGUUCGGAUGUGCAUCAACGUGGGUUCAUGUGUGCAUUACCCUAUAUGGGCUCAUACACGAACAACUCGACAUGGAUUCGUGGGUAUAUUCAAAUACUCAUACUCCUAUAUCCGCAUGAAUUGCGGGACAAGACAAACAUGGUUAAGGGUUCAUCUUGCAUGACUCUUAAUGACCUGAAAAUGGCGAAAGUGGGCAUAUGACGUGCAAAGUGGAAUUUGCAUCCCAAAGCUGUCAUCAAGUACAAAUGUGAAGUUUCACAGCCAAAUGAAGGUAUGCGAUUUCAAGUUAAUUAGUGCACUCAAAUACAUACAAAAAUUGACUUGAGCGUCGGAGUACCUUUUGUAGGUACCCUACCCUCUCUCAUUUGAUUUCGAAGGAGCGUCGCUUGGAGAUUUACUUAUGUUGCGUGCAGAGUAAAGCCGAAAAUCCGUGGAAGAUAUUCUUAUUAUAAGAAUUUCUCUCCAACAAAUAAUAUUAUAUUUCUAAUAAUGAAAUAAUUAGAAGAAAAAAUCGAACACUAAAUGCGGAAUGAAUAUUCCUUUACUAUUUGAAUUACAAAAGCGACCAAAUAAUAUUCUUAACUAAUUGCAAAACUAACCACAUCAUAAGUCAUUGUAUAGUGAGGGCCAAGGCCCUUAGAUGAGGUCCUAACCAAUUUGAUCUAAGGAUUAAGAGAUAGAGAAUAAGAUAAAGCCCUCGCUAUAGAAUUCUACAUCACAGCAAAGUAAACCUACCUAAAAUUGGAGUCAUUCUAUAGUGAGGGCCUUAUAUAUGGCCCUUAAGUGAGGUUCUAUUUCUUAAACGUUGGAUCAGGCUAACCAAUUAACGACUAACUAAUUUGAUCCAAUAAUUAAGAGAUAGGGCCUUACAUAAAGACCAUAUAUAAGGCCCUCACUAUAAAAUUCUUGCCUAAAGUUGGGCUCUAGUAUUGGGCCUGCGGUUUGUUUGUUUUUGGGUCAACUCAAAUUUGGGCUCCCUCCCAAUAAAUAAAGUGAACCCACCUAAACGUCGUCGUUGUGUUCCCUCUAGUUUCGUGGAUAUCUUUCCAUUUCCGCGUUAGAUUUGCAAACUUUCCAUUUUAGCAAAAUUUUCAGGUGAUUUCAACAGUGAAAGCAGAGCUCAGCUCACAGUCGUUAGUAGAGCAGAGCAGAGAGCCAAAUGACUCUGUGACUGAAGCACAACACACAUAGACCCUCAUCUUCUUCUUCUUCGUCUCCUUCGUCGUUUCCUGGUACUUCUUAUUUUCGUUUCUCAUUUUUCUUUGUUCGGUAGUGGCGGGAGGCUUUAGGGUUUCCAAGUACUGCAUUUUUGGGGAAUGCUUAGAUCGAAUGGAUUUGGCAUUUCAUUUGCUUUGAAUUUUCUUUUCCCUCUUCAUAUUUGUUUUUCAAAUCAUACCAUCUUUACCGUUUAUUGCAUUUUGUGCAUUCUUCCAGUAUUUUUAUGUUUAACGCUAUUUCAGUGUAUUUGUAUAUGUUUUUGUUCAAAACUUGUUUUUUCUAUUUCAAGUUGAGGGUUUAUAUUUUAGCUAGAAAAGCUUUCAAUUUUGUGUCCUUGUGGUAUAUUCAUUAUUCAUAUUUAUUGUAAAAUCUCAGUUUAGGUUAACUAGUAGAAGAUACCAUGUUGUUUAGGACCCAAAUUUUUUGUUCCUAAAUGGAUGUUGCGUUUUAGCUUUUUAUUCAUCUUAAGAAGAUCAACUGAUCAUUAGCUACUAUCAUGGCUCAACUUGUGUAUGUACAUGCAGGUUUCUACGAAAUAAGUUUUGUGGGCUGUCUUUGACUUUUCUCAAUGGGAAAAACUCCCGGAAAAUGGAUCAAGAAUUUGCUUCUUGGGAAGAAAUCAUCCAAGUAUAGUUUGUCCAAAGGAAGAGAGGUAUUGCUAAGCUGCACAUUGCUUUGCAAUCAAUUAGUAUUGUGAUUAAACAGCACUAAGUUGAAAAGGAUACAAAGUUGUAAUUUCAUGUCGAGUUAACCUAGGAAAAAAGGAAAGCCUGUCAAUUGAAAUUGUUCUAUAUGAGCCUGAUGAGAGCAGAGCAGACCCGAAAUUUAUGUCAUUGUGGCCUAUACCAUGGCUGGUUGUUUAAGUAAUUUAUUGAUUGAGCUUUUUUUUUCCCUCGAUAAUUUGGGAAUGGAUAACAAACUCUUGAGAGUGACCGUUUGAGUUAGUAUGUUAUGUCUAUUUUCUUUGGCAAGUGAAUUGUCAUGUUAUAUCUUGAUAUUAAGCAAAAACAUAAAGAAUGUUGACCCUGGAAGUUCAAAUUUCAUAUUACACUAUAGUUUUAAAUUUCAACUCUUAAAUAAUUAUGUAGUUUUGUUAUUUGUAUAGUUGUUGCUGGUCAUUAAGUUCUAAUUUGCAAAUCUGAUUAUUGUGCACAGAAAUCUACUAAUAAAGGGAAGGCAAUUGUCUCUUCAAAUUUAUCUGUGUCCGAGUUAACUGUGAGUGCUCCCCUAAUAUCACCACCUUUAGUUUCACCACCAGUGGUUGGGACUGGUGCUAGCAAUGCAGUAGACUCAGAGAUCGGUGUAGCUGCCAAAUUGCCAAAUGAUGGGAUUAUUCUUUCAUCUGUGAAGGAAGAUGGCCAAACACAAGCUAUCUUUAGUUCGAAUUCUCAGGAAGAUCAUGAAAUAAUCAAGCAAGAGCAAGCGGCCACAAAGGCGCAAAGUGCUUAUAGGGGUUAUGUGGUACUUUCCUCCCAUAGAUGUUCUGCUUUUGCUUGACAAUUAUUAUUAUUAUUUUAUUAUUUUUUUCACAUUUUCUGUUGUACUUCUGUGAGAUGAUUUAAGUAACUGAUGAAUUUAUUUUUGGCAAUCUUCCAACCACUAAUGCUUUCUAUUAUCUUUGAAGGCUCGCCGUGCAUAUCGAACCCUUAAGGGCAUCAUAAGGCUGCAAGCACUUAUUCGUGGUCACUUGGUUAGAAGACAAGCUGUAUCCACAUUAUUCUGUGUCCAGGGGAUUGUCAAGUUGCAGGCUCUGAUUCGUGGUCAUCUUGCUAGACAUUCUGAUAUUGGGGUUGAAGUGAAUAAAACUCAUCUGGUAAUUUCUGGUUACUUUUCAGUUGGCUCAUGCAUUGACUGGAGCUUAGUGAUUCAUGCUUUUUGACCAGAGCAAAAGCCUGCCUAGUUUUUUGUUGAAAUGAAUAUGCCAAUAUGAUUUUUGUUAUGUGUGAAUCAGGGUGAUUUAUCAGAAGUAAGUGCAUCUUCCCAUGUGGAGAGGCUGUCAAAAAUUGCUUUCGUUCAAAAGGUGAGAUUACAUUAGUAUUGCCCAAGAUUUGGUUAUUUUGGUUAUUUGAUAUUCAUUUCUUUGGUUCUUCAUUACGGGAAAUAUACUGAAAUCAACUUUGUUUUAUAGAGUAACACAAUCUAUGACAGAGGGAUUUUCCUUCUCACUAUUGUCAGCACUGUGCUCUUGUUUCACUCUAUUGGGGAAUAGUCUGGUAUCGUAUAUGCUUGUAUUACUUUUAAUGAUUUUCCGCCAAUUUAGAUUAUCAUGUAGGGAAAUAACCAUUGUGUCCUCAGCCUAAUAAAGAGAUCCAUGCAACUUAUGGCUCCAAACACCAGUUCCGAAACUAAGUAAUGCCACUUCCAUUUUAAGCUUUGAUCUUAAAAAUAGGAGCAUUAUGCACAAUCUAUGCCUGCACCUGUUUGUCACUUUUACUGCUGGUCUGUAUUGGCCAUUUGAUUGCCAGAAAAAGAAAAUGGGCAUUUGAUUAUAAAUUUUCACUUUCAGCUUCUGGCUUCCUUGCCUACUACUAGUCCUCUACAUCUCCAAUAUGGUCCAGAGGAACCUAAUUCGACCUGGGUGUGGCUUGAGCGCUGGACCAGGUCAUGCUUUUGGGAACCUGUUUUACAACCAAAGAAAAAUCUCGAUUCAAGGUCUCGUAGGAAGCAUGAGAAGGGUCAAACAAUAGAAACUGAAAAAGCCAGGCCAAAAAGAAGUGUCCGGAGGUUGUCGAAUACAAAUGUUGAAAAUGUGUCAAAUAGUGCCACUCCAGAUUCUGAAAAGACCAAACGUAAUUUGAGGAAAUUCUCUAGGCAUCCAGCAAGCUCAGUUCCGGAACAUCAACAAAAUGAAGUUGAGAAGGUUAAAAGUAAUGUAAGAAAAUCUUCUGAUCCCAAGAAGGGGGUUUCUGAUCGGUCAGUAGUCGGUGAUGAGAGAUCAAAGCACAGUAUGAUGAAGAGUUUGGCUUCUGCUGCUCCUGAUGAUUCAGAGCAGGGCACUAGUGAAUUUUCCGAGAAAAUGAAACAUAUGGCAGUUGCAGUGUCAAAACACUCCAAUCUAGAAGGAAGUGUGGAUCUGCUGUCAGCAGAAGAACCAAUGGAAAAGUUAGAUGACCAUCCUUCUGUUGCCGUGCUGCCCAUGGAGAACAAUGUCAGAAAUGAAGACAAUCCUUCUGCUGAGAUGCAACCCAUGGAGAACAAUGUCAUAAAUGAAGACCAUCCUUCUGCUGAGAUGCAACCCACAGAGAACAAUGUCAGAAAUGAAGACCUUCCUUCUGCUGAGAUGCAACUCAUGGAGAAAAAUGUCAGAAAUGAAGAAGUUCAAGCAAUCAAUGAGGUGCCAAACUCUAGGGACCACUUUAUUAGCAAUGAGGAUAAGAAAACAAGCCAGAGAAGGGCUUCUUUCCCUGUGAAGUUUGAUAAUCAGGAGAAUGGUGUUCAUAACACACCAAGAGUCCCAAGUUAUAUGGCACCAACUGCAUCAGCAAAAGCUAGGCUGAGAGGACAGGGCUCCCCCAGGUUUGACCGAGAUAUGGUUGAGAAGAAUGUUAUAACCAGGCGGCAUUCUCUGUCUGCUUCCACCAACACCAAGUUAACUUCCCUUUCCCCACGAGCACAGGGACUGGUUCAAGCAGCUGGCAAAGGAGUGAUCAGAAGUGACAGAUCUUUAUCAUCUUCGAGGGAUGGUUUAGGUAAGUUGUGAACUCGAGGAGUUGCACCAUGUGCUUUUCAGUUCCAUGUCUUGUUGACACUUCUUUUUCUUCUUAAUUUCCAUUCCCCUAUGCCCCCAACAAAUUUCGAAGCUCUCUUGCACAUGUGUUUGUCCUUCUAUACAUGACACCUAUCUGUUCAAGCAUUUAUUUGCUCAUGCUAGUGUAAGUUGGGGUAUUUUCAGGAUGCACAUUGACCCUUUGGUCUCAGGGUCAGAGAAGACUAUGUUGAAUUUAAGCAGGACAUAUCAAUUUUUCUAUAGUUUAUAUAAUAAAACUGUGUACAAAAUUUUUUGCUUGCUUCCUUAUGGAUCACUUGUCUUGGUCAUCUGCUGUAUAAAGUUUCUUAUCUUGUUUUUAUUAGGGAAAAAAAAAUCAGUCUAAUGAAUUGCUUGGUGUCAUUGGACCAUUUGAAAUUUAUGGUAUGCUUUCUAAUUGUCCUUUUAUUGUGGGUAAUGCCAAUUUCAGAUAAAGUAAUCCAACCUGAGUGGAGGAGGUGAAUUCCGACGAGGUAUUGCCCCAUGGAAAUAUUUCAAGAGAAACAUAUCAACUCAUUUCCAGUUUCUGGUUUUAUUGAUGUUGUCACCAAAGUAUAGUUGAGACCAAGAUUGAUUUGUUGUGUAAUCAGUGUUUUGAAGUGCCUAGUUUGUUCUCUUACUUAGCAUUAGGGGUUGAUUUGAUAGGUCUUGGUGUUUGGAUAAUUUGUGUUAGCCUUGAUCCUUUGUGAUUUUCCGUGUCAUCAAAUUAUGUACAAAUGUGAGAGCUUCAAGCCUCUAAGUUUCUGGUUUUCUUUUGCAUGUUAAACACUCGGGGUUUUCUAUUGGAAAUUGAUAUUUUGAUGCCGGGGCAUGUGUUUAUGAUCUCAAUAUACUACCAACUGCAAUGCUCAUAGAUUACUGCUAUAAGGCCACAGUGACAUUAUUUACCAGAAAGUCCAUUGCUUGUGCAAUGAUUUUAUUAUUCUUAAAAUCUUUUUCUCAGAGGUUGAAGUGCAAUAUUUUACACCUUAACUAGCCUAGCCUCAAUCUGAAGCCACAUCUCUAAGAUUUCUUCACAAAGAGGUUUCCCUCAUAUAACGCAGAAAGCAUAGAGUGAAGUCCCAGCUGUCCAAGUAGGGUGAAACUUGGCCAGGUCAACUGAAUACCCACUUCCAACGUAAAUAUACCCGUAGCUUGCCGAAAUACCCCCAUAUACUGUGGCACCAGUAUUAUACGACCACAAAAUUCUUCCAGUGUUUGCUUUCAUAGCAUAAAUGGGACCAUUCGAAGCUACAGACCCAGCAAAAACAACGCCAUUAGCAACUGUGACAGGUGCUUGGGCAGUGUCAUUGCUAGGGUUUGCAGUUGUCCACAAAAUCUCCCCUGAAUCUGCAUCAAGAGUGAAGUUUUCUCGGUCGCCGUUGGCAAUGUUUGUAUACACACUCUUCUCCCAUCUGUGGCUGCACCCCAUAUGCCGCCUCCUUCGCUGGCACCCGGACCCGCCAACUACAAAGUCCAGCAAAUUUAUUAGCCUCUGAGUAUUCCACACUGAUUUAUCUUAAGCACAAAACCCAACUCCUUUAGCAACUCAUUUUACCUUAGACCAGACUAUCGUUCCAUUGUCACGGUCUAUUGCCCAUGCAAACCCGCUUUUCUGCACGGCCACUACGACAUCACGCCUUGUUCGGUUAGGGUGUAUGGUGAGCAGCAUGGGUGCCUCUCCGAAGUCGGCAUCCAGAUUAGGUCCCGGUGGGCAGUCAGGGUUGUUGGUACCAAACAAGCAAAAUAGAAAACAUCAUAUCCGCCAAGUUGCCUGGACCAUACAAUCCUCCCAGAAUCCAAAUCCAACGCCAGAAUUGAAUUGAAGUUGAUAUCUGGACCAAUGCACUGAUCAGGAUGGGUAGGUUUUCCUCUCUGUUUAUUCUGCCUCUCUUGACAUUUGGUCACCUCAGGUGGAGCUGUGUAGAGGAUUCCAGUAGCCACAUAUACAUGUCUCCUGGAUAUAUCAAUGGCGGGGCUGCUUCCCCACACUGCAGCUCCUGAGUAACCUCCCAAUCUACGGCGGAUGUCCUGUAGCAUGUCCGCCACCUUCUUGCAAAGACGACACCCAACAUAAAAUGCACUGCAAAAUCGAAAAAUACAUUGACAAGCCUAAAAAACGCAGAACAAUAUGUAAAAGUUGAAAUAUUUGAGUACUUGACUAGUGUACUACUAACCCUAAGUGUACGGUUCCGGACAUGGUGAUAAGAACUCUUGGACGUGGGUCAAGUUGAGUUGACCACACAACACAAGCCUCCAAUUUGAUCGAUCAACAGCAAUCACAACAGCAGGUCCAUAAAUUCCAACGAUCAAGAGGUUACCGGCUAUAGUUGGGGUUGAUCUUGAAACGGUGACGUUCACAACAACUCCUGUUCCAUUGAGUCCAGUCAAGGCACCAAGGUUCUGCUGCCAUAUUAAACGACCAGUGAACGCAUCCACAGCAUAUAAAUAUCCAUUCCAUGAAGGAAAAUAGACCCUUCCAUCAGCUACUGCCGGCGUCGCAGCGAAAAAUCACCAUCUUAACCUCAUGUUUAACACUGUCCUUGGGUUGAUUAGCACUUCCCCAACAGCGUUCCUUCUGUUGGUAAUGUCACCCCCGUGAUUUGUCCACUGAAAACAUAUAAUCAAAAUUAGAGCAAAACAAACAUCACAUUGGAAAAAUUAAGCUUAAUUAAUUAAUUGGUACUUACAAUGGCGUAUGUGGCAUCAAGAAGUGUAAGCCAACAUACCACCAUGACGACCAUUUUCAUGGUGUGAUGGCAUUUCAUCAGAUUUUGUUUACAAGCCAUGGCUGGUGAAAUGGUUCUCUUCUCUCUGGCUAUGGAUGAUAUAAGUUUACGUGCUUGCUACUUUGGGAACCAUUAAAUCAUUGGCUACCGGCUCUACUUAAACCCAACUUUUUCCUAAGUAUGCCAACCCCUCCCAUCUACUUACACCCAACUUGCUACUGGAAAUCUAAAUAUUCCGGAAAAUACCCCCAUUAAGACCCAAACCAGUUCUUUUAGUAGACCUUUUCUUGUCAUUGUACAUUAGGGUAAACUUAAUUAGGAAAAAAGUCGGGUUUAAGUAGCCCCACUCUAAACAAGCUAUAAUUAAGUUCAAAAAGAGCUGGUUAAAGUGACUGAGUUUCAGCUGCUUAUCGGGCAAAAAGAGUUAUAAGUUACAGAAUUUUGGUAAAAAAAGCUUACUGUAUUGAGGAAGCUGCCUUCUCUCCAUGAUGUCAUCAUAUAAUUUCUUUCACAAGCUUCAAUAUUCUCAUGUCAUCCGGGCUUUUGAGAAAACAAGCAGGGAAGUUAAUGAAAACAUGGUUAUUGUAUAUUGAGCAUGAAAGAACACACAAUUCAGAAGCAUGAUGACCUGCAGAGAAAUUAAGAAUGUUAAUUAAAAACCGAACUAAUCACAAUUAGAUUAACCAGUUUGGUAUAAUUAACUGGUCAGGUGGCAACCAGAGUUCCCCCAAACACUUCAGUGGGAUGGCAUGCAUGGAAUUUCACCCUCAGUUGAAGGGUUUUGGAAAGCUUGAUCCCAGUGAAGUGGUCAGGGAAACUCUAGGGGACAACUGACUUUCAUUCCCUUUGAUCUCCUUUUCUCUUGUUCAAUUUGGUUUCUGGGUGAGCAAAUAUAUGCACCCCAUAUUUAUAACCUAAGGCUCUCAUGAGUUCUCACUUUUCAUGAUUCUUAGAUUAGAUUUUUAGGUGGUCUAGGAGAACCAUUGGAGAUCGAGAGAAAUUUGCAGAAGUGGGAUUUUAGGCCGCAAGUGAACCUGGCCGCAAUUGUGGGUCAGAAUCAGAUUCAGACGAAGGGUUUGAAGAAAGAUAUAUAUAUUUGAGGGGGGGUCAUUGUAUAUAUAUUCUAAUGAGAGAGCUAUGUAUAAAACACAAAUUAAUCCAAGCCAGAUAUGCAUUGACUUUAUUCUAAGAUAUUUAUGCUCUUAAGGUAUCAAUGUAGGGAUACUUAGUUAUAAAAAUUGCAUUUAAUUAAGGGAGCUGAUUUUCCCACUCUUUUUUUUUUCACUUACACUCUCUUUUAUUUAAAAAAAAAAUAUUUUUUAAUUAAUUUUGUUCUUUUUUGUUCUUUCUCUUUUCUAUUCUACCCCUAUCCUACAGUAAUUUCUUUUUACUUCACUUUCAUAUUAUUUCUUUUUCUUUAUACUUAAUUUUUCAACUUGCAUUACAUUUUCUUUUUCUUUAUAUUUUUAUAUUAUUUCUUUUUCUUUAUUCCGUUAAAUGAACAUGAUAAUAUUUUUAUUUUAUUUUUAGAAAACCUAUAAUGCUUAAUGAAGUUAAUAAAAAGUUGAAUUAAAAGCAUUAGAAAAAAGAAAAGAAGGGCAUAGUCGGGGAGGGGAGGAGUUGCACAUCGAUUGUAGAAGUGGGAGCAACCCAACAACCAUGUCAAUCUCUAUCCCCAACCAUUUUCCCCACCUACACCCAAAGACCCCAACUCUCCAAGCCACACUUACCUCCCCAACUCCAUGCAUUAAUUCACCUCUAAUAUAUAUAUUAAAAGCUCAUGCAGACUUAGCACUCUGCAAUGGUCCUUCCCACUUCUCCACCCGGCUGAGCAUUUCCUCCCAUUCCUGACUAAACUACGCCCUUUUUUUCUUUCUCUUUUCAAGUUUUUAUAUUUUUUCUAAUGAUGUAUUUUACUUUAAUUGAACUUUUAAUGUAUUUUAAAAUUAAUACAACUUUUUAUUAACUUCAAAAAGCUUUAUAGGUUUUCAAAAUAAAAUGAAAAAAGAUUAUCAUGUUCAUUUAACGACAACUUUAACAGAACAGACCAAAUUAAUUAAUGGUCUUAAACACAUGGAUCAAUUUGGCCAAAUUAAAAACACAUUGACUAAAUUGGCCAAGGUGAUAAAACAUAGGGACCGUUUUGAUAUUAAAGCCAAAGAAAUAAUAUAGAAGUCAAGUAUAAAGAAAUUAAUGUAUGAUAACAGUAGAGUAAGAAAGAGAAAGAAUAAAAAAGAAAAAGAUUGAUUAAAAAUAUAUAAAAACAAAAAGAAGUGUAAGUGAAAAAAUUAGCUCCCUUAAUUAAUAUCAAACUAAACUUAAGUUGGGAUUAAAAUGUGGCAUAUUUUGACUGGUGUGGGGCCAGUUACUUUUAUCAGAUUGGCACUCCAGUCCAGUUGACCAUGCCAACUUUUGAUCACUAGAACCUGCUGCAACUCCAUAAGAAUAUAUUUAUUUUUGUGUGAUGUGAUAUCAUCGAUGGGGUCAUGUAUAUAUACCAGAAAAUCUAGAUGGAUUAUGAUCGCUUCAUAUCAGAAUUGAAAAACAAAAAAAAAGAAAAAAAAAAGGCUGUGGCUGUGGCUGUGGGAAUGGAAACGGAUGGAUAGAUUGGGAUUGGGAAUGAAUUAAAAUGGAAAAGUUAUAUAGCUAGCUAGCAUGGGGGGAGGAAUGAGCACUCGCUUUCAUUUCAUGCAACAUUUUAUUCCCUACUGUUUAUGUAGCCCACAUAACAGUCUAGGUUCACCACCUACAACUUUAUCCCCACAUAUUUUUCUUCCAAUUGAAUUCCAACCCAAAAUACCACAAUUAAAGGCCUCUAGCAACCACUAUAAAUAGCAUAGAUCCAUGGAGUUGACAUUACCUAUUAUAUAUCAAGCAAGAAUAUGAACAACAAAGAAAGCAAAUGUCAAGUCAGAUGACCCCUAGAGUUUCUUUGACCAUUUCAUUGGGUGAUGAACCGAUAAACGAUCUUUUUCGAUAAGUUAUUUCUCAAAUAGAAGUUCCUACUGAAGUGUUUGGGGGAACUCCUGGGAUCAUUUGAUACCAUAUAUCAUAAAGAUUCAAGAUCACAGGGAUAAAUGUAAAGAGUCUUAUGCAUGCAAUUACAAAUUCUGCUAUUUUUUAAAUAGCUUUCUACAGUAAUCUGAUAAUUCCCAGCUACUUUCUGAUGCAUAUAUAUUAUAAGUGUAACACUUGUUGGUUUUCUGUUCUGGUUUUUGAUUUUGAUAGGUAAUGUGCGUUUGCAGACUGCUAGGACUAUGAUGAUGAAGACAUGGCUUGAUUAACUAUACAUUCGCACAAUUAAUGUAUCGAAGCAAUUUCAUGCUGGCACUCUUCUUAGAAGAUUGCUUAGACUAUGAAUUUUACAUGAUUUAAAUUCGUCAGUUUUUAUUUACUCCAACCAUAUUCUUCAUUGUGUUUGUGACUGAAUGUCUUAUAUGGAGUGCAAGUAACCUUCCUCUCAUCAAUUUGCACGUUUCUCAAUCAAAAUUUAAAUAAAGAAAAAGAAGAAGAACAAGUAAUUUAUGGACAUUUUUCUCUAUAUAUGUUUUGAAAUGUUAGCUCCUACCUGAGUCAAUAUUUAACCCCAAUGCCAAUAGGGUAUAUGUGGAAUAUUACGUAAAAUGGUCAUGAGAGUGAGUCUAUCCCUUUGCACUUAAAUUCGAAACCCCUCCUUGAAAAUUAUUAAUUUAGAUUAUCAAUUGUAUAUAAUAAAAAAUUGGGGUCAAUGGGUCAAUAUACUUGAAAUCUUAGUCAAUUUUGAUUUCAGAUUUUUUUGGGUGCUGUUAUAAACGAACAUUAAAAUUAACUGAGUACACUCUACUACUAAAUUAUUUAUUGAAUUACUAAUUUACCCUCAUAUAAAAUGACAAAAAAGACUUACCUAGAUAUGUUAUUCCACAGAGACCCGAAUUCGUGCAAGUGAUGAUCAAUCUCUAUGGAUUUGCAAACCACUGAUAGCUUCAUUGAAAGAAAGACCCACAUAAACAAAGCAAACUAAACUUAGCCAGUACACACAACGCCAUAGAUAGCAAAGUAGAGAGACUCACAAAGGACUAAAAUUAAAACAUCAGAUGCGAGGCACCGUAAGACCAUCCGCUUCCAGCACACCAUUUGUUUCCAACUGCAUAUUGACCAUUAGUAUAUGAGUACAUCAUUUGUUUUCUGUUCUAAGCCUUAUGAAAUUGUUGAUAAGUGAUUCAUACUGAAAAACCUGAAGCAUCGCAUACAACAUGGAUUCCCUAAAUUCUGAUGUAUAUGAUAUAAAUUUGGUAGAUGUUUAGUAGAGUUAUACUUCCAUAGUCGGCUUCCAGCUCAUUAACAAGUUCGAUAUUGCACUUUGGAAGAAUCCAAAAUCCAAAUUUCAUUCAAUUGCUCAUGUUUGGUGGUCUGAUAGUGUUCGGCAGCCAGCUCUCGAACAGGUUUGAUAUCGUGUGAUAGUGUAUAAGGGCGUACCAGGGGUAUUUUUAGGAGUUAAAUAGGGUGUACUUAGUUAAUAUUACAUUUUGAUUUAAAUAUUAUCGUGUACUUAGAUCAUAGGGUGUACUCAGUUAAUUUUAGGGUCUGUUUAACAACACCCAUUUCUUUUAAGAGUAAAAUCACGAUUUUAGGUUCCAAUAACAUAAUUGCUCUCUUUGACGAAGAACAAUAAAGAGCAAUGUUAGGGAUACCAAGUGGAGCCCACUAAAAUAGUAGGGCUCAUCUCUAUUAGAGAGGUGAUAUACAAUGUUGUAUGACUAGCAUUUUUGAAAAAUAAAAUAACAUAACUCUCUGAUUAUUUUGAGUGAUCGCGUGAAAGUGUUUUGUUUUGGACCACCUCCUCCAGGCCCAUAUCAUUUCCACUGGAAGAACUUUGUUUGGAUAUUUUUUCUGUUGAGGCCAUAGUGCUUUUGGAUGUUAAAUCUUAACAUUUGGCCCAUUCCCUUUGUCAAUCAACUUCAUAAACGAGGUUGUAUGAUUCUUUCUCUUUCCUCUCUCCAGCAUGGAACCCUAAUUUAUGCUUUGACUUUGGAGGAAUUGGGCAAAAAUUAGAUCUUUAAUUGCGAACUUUAAACUCAAACGUACUCCCUCAAUUUCUCUAUUUGAUCGCCCAGACAAGGCAUGAAAUUAGCUAAUAGCUUUGUCUUGUAUGAUAUUUAGUAGACAACAUGAAACGUUGAAACUUAAACAUAAUAUAACUUGUUUUCCUUAAUUUGCUUUGUUGUUUGUAAAUCCAGUGGCUGACAUUUUCACUUUUGCUUCUACUAUUCUGUAGCAUUCAAGGUUUUAUGGAAUUGGAUCCAACCAAGGUCUUGGCCAUAGAUUUAAUGGCCUAGUGGGCAAUACAAAGGCGGCCAAUAAGUCCUAUGGUCCUCAGUCCCUGGUUUAAGGCACAAACUUCGCUUUGACAGGUUCGUCCGUUCUUGCACUGCAAUUUUUGAAAAGAAAAGCAAAGAAGGCAACCUUUUCUAUGCGUGCCAGACAGCUACAAUUGAGAAGAAAGAUGUUAGAUUGUAAGGGAAACAAAGUGAUUUUAUUAAAUUAAGGAGAAUAGUACAUAGCAUGGUGUAGACUAAUUGGCUUUUUGAGCAUAUUGGCUUAUUGGCUACCACACUUGAUUUAAAUUAGUUUGGGCUAUUUGGCCCUUACACUUUGAUUGAUGAGCUUAUUGGCUCCUAAACAUAGUUUAUUUGGGUAGCUCUUGGCUCCAUUAGUUUGGGAGUUCUUUUCAUUGAAUUCCCCAUAGAUUGGGAGUUGGCGGAUGACUCCACUCCACC